rnacentral:rRNA from 1 species
AAUCAACGCUGGCGGCGUGCCUAACACAUGCAAGUCGAACGGGAUUACUUUUGGUAGCAAUACCGAGAGUAAUUUAGUGGCGAACGGGUGCGUAACACGUGGGCAAUCUGCCGAAAAGUGGGGGAUAGCUCGCCGAAAGGCGAAUUAAUACCGCAUGUGGUGAGGGAAGACAUCUUCCUGAAUCCAAAGCCGGGGCAACCUGGCGCUUUUUGAGGAGCCCGCGGCCUAUCAGCAGUUGGUGAGGUAACGGCCCACCAAGGCUAUGACGGGUAGCUGGUCUGAGAGGACGACCAGUCACACUGGAACUGAGACACGGUCCAGACACCUACGGGUGGCAGCAGUCGAGAAUUUUUCUCAAUGGGGGAAACCCUGAAGGAGCGACGCCGCGUGGAGGAUGAAGGCUUU